UCUGAAUCCUCAUAGUCAAAUGAUGCAUAUCCUGACGUUAUACUCUUCAAUUCAUUGUAAAAAUCAACAACAAUUUCCUUCAAAGGUAGGCGAUACUUCAUAAAGGCUCGUUGGCUAUCAAUGAACGAAUACUCCAAUUGCUGUCCUCUCCGCUCAGAGCAAAGGGGAAUAACAGGCCCCACAUACUCACUAGGGAUGAUAAUUGUAGCUAUGACAGUAGGUUCCCAACUAGCCGUAACUCGUUGCUUGGGAUUUGAGGGUAAUGCAGCAGGAUUCUGAACUUGUACUUUGCUUCCAUCCGAAUACUCAAAAAUAUAUGGAACAGUUGGAAUAGUAGAAAUGACAUGAGCUCCAUAUUCCUGUUCAAGCCGCUGAUGAAAAACAUCCAUGUGGAGUAACCCUAAGAAACCGCACCUGAAACCCAGACCAAGUGCAGAACUACUCUCUUUAGUAACAGAGACGCUUGCAUCAUUGCAUGUCAGUCUCUCUAUUGCAUGGUUAAGUGCUUCAAAAUCAGAUCCAUCAGCUGGGUAAAGACCAGAGAAUACCAUAUGUUUUGCAGGCUUAAAAC
rnacentral:misc_RNA from 1 species